rnacentral:lncRNA from 1 species
GGGGGUCCGCGGGGGCCUCUGGCGGGCACCACCAACACGUGUGUCCCAGAAGGCCGCUGGCGUCCCCCAGGCCACGUCAAACCGUGACGUCCGGGCAAGGCCAGAACUGACGGCGGGAGCCUCGCCCAGCCAGCGAGCGACCUGGCCAGCGGUGGAAGACCACAGAAAGCCGGGGAAGGAUGCUGGGGGUGAGAAAAGGAGGGUCUGCAGCAUGGGGGGGGGGGGGGGGAGUAAGGUUUUCUGCUGUGAAGUAUUGCGUUUCCUGGAUGGCCUGGCGACCACCUAAGCUUUCCAGUAACAGACAGUAAUGGGAUGCCCUUUCUGUCUCUCCUCAGGGACGAGUCCCUGAAUUCCUCGCCCCUCUUGAUAUUUCUGGGAGUUGACGUCCACGGACAAACCUUCAUAGCUGGCCAGAGCUUUUUCCCCUCCCUCCUAACCUCCCGGAGUGUUUCUGUGCCUUGUGACAGGUGAUGCUGUCAGACGGGAGUUCCGGACCACACCAGCGGGCCCCUGAUGCCGAGCUCCUGCAGGAAGGAGCCCUGCGGGCUCCUCAGCAUCCUGCCUUUGCCAACGACGGAAGCCACGGAGACUGGCCAGGAGCAAAUACCACACCGGUGAGUGGGGCCCAGGCGAGCUGAGGCCCCUCCAUCCUUCCUGGAAAUACAGCACCACGUCCUGAAUACGGCCUCGUUUUCACUCGCUCCCUGACCCCCCCCCCCCCCAAUCCAGGCAUUCCGCUCACAAGGAACACUUUGUUGGAUGCCACACCAUUCGUGGACUGUUCCCGGUCGUGAUUUUCGCUGUGCACAGCCUAUGCCCCCUUCCACCGCAACCCCAAAUAUAUGUGGAACAGUAACCACCUUUCAUUUCUAGAAACCUCCUGAGAAUCCCUUCUUCUGCGUCUGUUUCCUGGGGACUGGGGUUUCCUCCGGGUCAGCGGGAGCAUAUCCUUGCAGGACGCGGUGACGUUUGAGGAUGUGGCCGUGUGCUUCAGUAGCGGAGAGUGGCAGUGUCUGACCCGCGCCCAGAGGCACCUGUACACUGACGUGAUGCUGGAGAACUAUGGCAACAUGCUGUCGGCUGGUGAGGACACCCUGUGCUUGGCUUAGUCCUUUUUCCUGUCCUUACUCUUUACUUGCUGUCUAUUGACGUCUCCGGGCCUCCCAGUGAAAGUCAGAGCCCUCAUUCUUGCCUUGCAGCCACAACGGGGAAAAUACAACCAAGUGACUGCUUCCUGGGGUCUCCUCCUCUGCCCUUCUGAGCGUGACCUUUCUGAGGUCAUCCCUACAUGCUUGCUUACACCUUGGCAGACCCCCCCAAGUACACCCUUUUCUCCCCCCUGCUCACACUCUCCUCUGCAGUGUGAGCAGAAGGGUCAAGGCCGGGUGUUGGGACAGAGGUGAUCUGCUAUGCACACUGACUUCCCUUCUCCACGAGCAGGCCUUGCCUGCCCUAAGCCACCCCUCAUCUCCCACCUGGAGCAAGGGGCCGUGCCCUGCGCUGAGGACCUGCAGGACUGGGGGUUCCUGACCUGCUCCUUCCCAGGUGAGUGACGGGGAAGCUCCAGUCACCAGCUGUGUGCCGUGUGACAGCUGGUUCUAGUAUGUUCUUAGUGCUGCGUCAUCCAUCCUCACCCUCCUGGAGGAAGUCCACUUAGAAAACCCUAAUGGAGAGAAAAGAAACAGCAGCAAAUCGGACAAUUAUCCUGUCAUUAAUUGCUUCUGUGCA